rnacentral:rRNA from 1 species
AGUGAACGCUGGCGGUAGGCCUAACACAUGCAAGUCGAACGGCAGCACAGUAAGAGCUUGCUCUUACGGGUGGCGAGUGGCGGACGGGUGAGGAAUACAUCGGAAUCUACUUUUUCGUGGGGGAUAACGUAGGGAAACUUACGCUAAUACCGCAUACGACCUACGGGUGAAAGCAGGGGAUCUUCGGACCUUGCGCGAUUGAAUGAGCCGAUGUCGGAUUAGCUAGUUGGCGGGGUAAAGGCCCACCAAGGCGACGAUCCGUAGCUGGUCUGAGAGGAUGAUCAGCCACACUGGAACUGAGACACGGUCCAGACUCCUACGGGAGGCAGCAGUGGGGAAUAUUGGACAAAGGGCGCAAGCCUGAUCCAGCCAUACCGCGUGGGUGAAGAAGGCCUUCGGGUUGUAAAGCCCUUUUGUCGGGAAGGAAAAGCAGCAGGUUAAUACCCCGCUGUUCUGACGGUACCCAAAGAAUAAGCACCGGCUAACUUCGUG